GAUGAACGCUGGCGGCGUGCCUAAUACAUGCAAGUCGAGCGAACAGACGAGGAGCUUGCUCCUCUGACGUUAGCGGCGGACGGGUGAGUAACACGUGGAUAACCUACCUAUAAGACUGGGAUAACUUCGGGAAACCGGAGCUAAUACCGGAUAAUAUAUUGAACCGCAUGGUUCAAUAGUGAAAGACGGUUUUGCUGUCACUUAUAGAUGGAUCCGCGCCGCAUUAGCUAGUUGGUAAGGUAACGGCUUACCAAGGCAACGAUGCGUAGCCGACCUGAGAGGGUGAUCGGCCACACUGGAACUGAGACACGGUCCAGACUCCUACGGGAGGCAGCAGUAGGGAAUCUUCCGCAAUGGGCGAAAGCUUGACGGAGCAACGCCGCGUGAGUGAUGAAGGUCUUCGGAUCGUAAAACUCUGUUAUUAGGGAAGAAAAAAUGUGUAAGUAACUAUGCACGUAUUGACGGUACCUAAUCAGAAAGCCACGGCUAACUACGUG
rnacentral:rRNA from 1 species